CCCACCUGCCCCUGCCUGCUGAGUGCUCCACCUGACCCUGCCUGCUGAGUGCCCCACCUGCCCCUGACUGCUGAGUGCUCCACCUGACCCUGCCUGCUGAGUGCUCCACCUGACCCUGCCUGCUGACCCUUCCAAUGGCCCCAUCUGUUGGGAGAAGUGAGAAGAGCAAGAGAGAAUGAGAUACUCUGUCUAUUAGGAAGAAAGCAGAAAGCGCUGUUUCUAUUUCUAAAAAAAAAAAAAAAAAAAAAAAAAAAGA